rnacentral:lncRNA from 1 species
UCCUAAAGACUUCAUCACAAAACAGGAGUUCAAAAUAAGAUGUACACAAUGAUAAAAAAAUUAAAUAAUAUUUAUUAAUUUAAUAAUUUAUAUAUAAUUAUAAUAAUAAAUUCAACCAUCAACAGAUUGACGAUUGGAUUGAAACAUAAUUUUCAAUAGUUAUGGCCUCAACUUGUCACUCCGAUCAUUGUUAGAUAGUGAUAAAUUGAGAGGAUCUAAUUUUGAUAGCUGGUAUCGAAAAUUGAAGAU